rnacentral:lncRNA from 1 species
CCGGAAAGGCUGGUGAGACUCAGCGAGGAGCGUCUCCGUGACGGGACAGUCUCUAGGCCCGCCUCUCCACCUGGUGAUGGUCAUUGUCUCCCUGAACAGGGAUGGAGGAAAUAACAUCCCAAGAAGCAGCAGAAUCACCAAGGGUCCAGUUUCAGUCUUUGGAGAGCCAGUCUGAAUGUCUUUCCCCAGAGCUUCGGUUUCUGCGGGACACAGAGAUGGAGCAGGGAUACACUGAUGGAUUUCCAAUUUCCAAGCCUGAUGGAAUUUCUCAGCGGGAACAAGAUCUACAAGUCUUUGAUCUGGAAACUCAGAAUAGAGAAGGCGUAAGAAAUGACUGUUCAGAUGGAGAGACCAGAGAAGAAAACAAGCUGUUGAUUCCUAAGCGGAAAAUUUCAGAAGAAGUACAUUCAUACAAAGUGAGAGUAGGAAAAUUCAAACAAGAUAUUGCUCAAG